CCUACGGGUGGCAGCAGUGAGGAAUAUUAGUCAAUGGACGAGAGUCUGAACCAGCCAAGUAGCGUGAAGGAUGACUGCCCUAUGGGUUGUAAACUUCUUUUAUAUGGGAAUAAAAUGUUCCACGUGUGGGAUUUUGUAUGUACCCUAUGAAUAAGGAUCGGCUAACUCCGUGCCAGCAGCCGCGGUAAUACGGAGGAUCCGAGCGUUAUCCGGAUUUAUUGGGUUUAAAGGGAGCGUAGGUGGAUUGUUAAGUCAGUUGUGAAAGUUUGCGGCUCAACCGUAAAAUUGCAGUUGAAACUGGCAGUCUUGAGUACAGUAGAGGUGGGCGGAAUUCGUGGUGUAGCGGUGAAAUGCUUAGAUAUCACGAAGAACUCCGAUUGCGAAGGCAGUUCACUGGACUGCAACUGACACUGAGGCUCGAAAGUGUGGGUAUCAAACAGGAUUAGAUACCCUAGUAGUC
rnacentral:rRNA from 1 species